GGUGUAUCAAUAUUUGUGCUCAACAGUUAUUACGACUCAAUCGUAAUAAAGGUUGAAAAAAGGUUGGUCGCAACGAUCGUAACGUAUACGAGAUGAUACGAUUAGUAUAGAAUAACCGACAGACAUUUAAUGGAUUACAUUUAAGAAUAUUUAAUAAAUUCAGUAAAAUAUAUAAAUAAACUUGUUUACAUGUGAAAAUAUACUCAAUAUUAGUAAAUAAAUAUACGAUAGGACGGCAAACUAUUUGACAAAGAAGAAACAGAAAUAAGAGAAAUUACAACAAUCUUCACAUAGCUUCUGUCGUUCGAUAUAAAAGAUGCUCACAAAAAAGCGUCAACGGAUCACUCACUGUUUUUUUUUAAAUCACGAUAUAUUAUAACAUAUUGUCCUUAUAUUGUCUACCGAUUAUGAACGCAAGUUUCGAACAUCUGAAAGAACGUAAGUAAGGUCAGGAU